CCUACGGGAGGCAGCAGUGGGGAAUAUUGGACAAUGGGGGGAACCCUGAUCCAGCGACGCCGCGUGAGUGAAGAAGUAUUUCGGUAUGUAAAGCUCUAUCAGCAGGGAAGAAAGAAAUGACGGUACCUGACUAAGAAGCCCCGGCUAACUACGUGCCAGCAGCCGCGGUAAUACGUAGGGGGCGAGCGUUAUCCGGAUUUACUGGGUGUAAAGGGAGCGUAGACGGCGAUGUAAGUCUGAAGUGAAAGGCGGGGGCCCAACCCACGGACGGCUUUGGAAACUGUAUGGCUGGAGUGCAGGAGAGGUAAGUGGAAUUCCUGGUGUAGCGGUGAAAUGCGUAGAUAUUAGGAAGAACA
rnacentral:rRNA from 1 species